ACAAUUGGCUGUUGGGACACUAGAUGUCUUAGUAGCGAAGCUAACGCGUGAAAUUGUCCGCCUGGGGAGUACGGUCGCAAGAUUAAAACUCAAAGGAAUUGACGGGGACCCGCACAAGCGGUGGAUGAUGUGGAUUAAUUCGAUGCAACGCGAAGAACCUUACCUGGUCUUGACAUGUACGGAAUCUCUUAGAGAUAGGAGAGUGCCUUCGGGAACCGUAACACAGGUGCUGCAUGGCUGUCGUCAGCUCGUGUCGUGAGAUGUUGGGUUAAGUCCCGCAACGAGCGCAACCCUUGUCAUUAGUUGCCAUCAUUAAGUUGGGCACUCUAAUGAGACUGCCGGUGACAAACCGGAGGAAGGUGGGGAUGACGUCAAGUCCUCAUGGCCCUUAUGACCAGGGCUUCACACGUCAUACAAUGGUCGGUACAGAGGGUAGCGAAGCCGCGAGGUGAAGCCAAUCUCAGAAAGCCGAUCGUAGUCCGGAUUGCACUCUGCAACUCGAGUGCAUGAAGUCGGAAUCGCUAGUAAUCGCAGGUCAGCAUACUGCGGUGAAUACGUUCCCGGGUCU
rnacentral:rRNA from 1 species